rnacentral:rRNA from 1 species
GUGAGCGCUGGCGGUAGGCCUAACACAUGCAAGUCGAACGGCAGCACAGUAAGAGCUUGCUCUUACGGGUGGCGAGUGGCGGACGGGUGAGGAAUACAUCGGAAUCUACUUUUUCGUGGGGGAUAACGUAGGGAAACUUACGCUAAUACCGCAUACGACCUACGGGUGAAAGCAGGGGAUCUUCGGACCUUGCGCGAUUGAAUGAGCUGAUGUCGGAUUAGCUAGUUGGCGGGGUAAAGGCCCACCAAGGCGACGAUCCGUAGCUGGUCUGAGAGGAUGAUCAGCCACACUGGAACUGAGACACGGUCCAGACUCCUACGGGAGGCAGCAGUGGGGAAUAUUGGACAAUGGGCGCAAGCCUGAUCCAGCCAUACCGCGUGGGUGAAGAGGGCCUUCGGGUUGUAAAGCCCUUUUGUUGGGAAAGAAAAGCAGCAGGUUAAUACCCCGCUGCUCUGACGGUACCCAAAGAAUAAGCACCGGCUAACUUCGUG